rnacentral:rRNA from 1 species
UAGGGAAUAUUGGUCAAUGGGUGAGAGCCUGAACCAGCCAUGCCGCGUGCAGGAAGAAGGCCUUCUGGGUUGUAAACUGCUUUUGCCGGGGGAUAAAAUUCCCAUGCGUGGGACAUUGAAGGUACCCGGUGAAUAAGCCACGGCUAACUACGUGCCAGCAGCCGCGGUAAUACGUAGGUGGCAAGCGUUGUCCGGAUUUAUUGGGUUUAAAGGGUGCGUAGGCGGUCUUGUAAGUCAGUUCUGAAAUAUCCCGGCUUAACCGGGAGGGUGGGAUUGAUACUGCAGGACUUGAGUGGAGUCGAGGUAGGCGGAAUUGACGGUGUAGCGGUGAAAUGCUUAGAUAUCGUCAAGAACACCGAUAGUGUAGACAGCUUACUAGUCUCAAACUGACGCUGAGGCACGAAAGUGUGGGGAUCAAA